rnacentral:lncRNA from 7 species
GGUAACUUUCCGAUCUGGUGCAGAUGUAAGCAUGGACAUAGGAGGUUCUGUUUUUGAAGGAGACUCUGCUAUAGACAGAGCAAUGCAAAUGCUUAUUCUGAAUGAGUACAGUGAAUGAAUUAGACAAAUAAAAAUAUUGCAGGAAGGAAUUUCUUGAGGGCCUUUGUGUUCUGUAAAACAGAAUGAAAACUUUGCAGUAGAGUCAGGGAAACAGCCAAUCACAUUUGAAAAUCCAAUGUAUGCAACCAGAGAUAGUGGAGCUGGUGGAACCAGUGAAGUUACAGUCAUUCAACCAACACAGGUAACAGGAGCUGGUAGUGUGGAAAAUGAAAAUUUUGAAAAUCCUGUGUAUGCCUCUGAAGUAUCUCCUGGGCCAAAAGAACCUCCUCCACGUACAGACACACCUCAGGAGUCAAAGUGGAGUUUCUUCAAGAGAAAAAUGAAACAAAACACUAAUUUUGAAAACCCAAUAUAUGCGGAGAUGGAAAAGGAACAGCAACAGGACACAGAAAAUGUCCCUCCUUCCUCUCCUUCACUGCCUCCCAAGAUUACUCUAAAGAGAGACCAGCCAUUAGCUUAUACAGCGACAGAGGAUACAUUCAAAGACACCGCCAAUCUUGUUAAAGAGGACUCUGUUGUAUAAGUAGGUAACUGAUUUAGGGAAAAUGAGACACAUCCAUUUGCACAUAUAUUUUUUAUAAACAGAAGAGUAAGGUUCACAUUCAAAUGCUUUAUGAAAAUAUAUACAUCUUUUAGUCGGUGGCUGGAGAUGUAUGUUGAAACUAUGCCUUGUUUUUUGACAAAUGCCAAUUACUAUUUUUAUGAACAAGUAUCACGGUGUACUAUAUGUAUAUCUUUGCACUGAACCUGUCUGAAAGUAAUGUUAUAAAUAUAUUGUAAAUUUGUAAAUUUUUCAAAGAUUAUCUUGGGUUUUUUUGCUAGUAGAAAUCUGUAUGGAAUUGGUUGCAUAAAGAUAGGGGUAAAUUCAUUAUAGAGGGGUUUAAACUAAAAAUACAAACAAGGUGAGUAUAGGAGUGUUACUGAUUUACAGGAUCUUUUGCAUAAAUAUUUAUAACAGUACCUUUUAAAACUUCUACUGGUGCUCUGGGCAUCCUUACCACCUAUUUUUAUCUUCUGCUGGAUGUAGAAAUGAGUGUCUCUGUUUAUCUUGUGUUAAACAAAAAAUGGAAAAGUCAAUGCAGCAUCAUUAUGCUGAAUAGCUAUCUGUGCAGAAUGUUGUUCCCAUAAUGUUUUAACUACCUGGGAUAAAACAAUCCAUUAAACAUGCUUUUCCACUAGGAUCCAAUUUAAACCACUCAAUUAAUAGUGUUCUUUAAAAGAUUUGAUAUAUUUAGAUUUUAGUGUCAUGAGUACUGAAUUUAAUGAGGUUAUCUCCUGUACAUCAGUGAAAUAGCUCUGUUCUUAGCUGGAGUCUCUGGAAGUUAUUUGUACUAUUAAAUGAAGUAGCUAGAUUUCUGUAACAGCUUAUUUCCGAACAGCAAAAUACAAAAACUACUGCUUCAUUUAAGAAAUGAUUCAGGUUUUUUAAUGUGAAAAUUUAAUUUUAUUGACUAUUUAUUUCCAGAGGUGGACAUGAAUAGAAAGGGAAACAAUUUCUACUAAUGCAGUCUUUGUAGUUAAUCUGCUUAUUUUCAUAACCUUCUAUCAGCAUAUACUGUAUGUCUUACCAGUUUUUCUAUUAAUUAGCCAAGGUAGUUUCCACAGUGUGAACCAUUUGAGGAAACUUUUGAUUACCACUACAGGAACAUGUAGCAUUUCUAACUAGUUACAUAAUUUAAAGAUUCCUAAAUUAAAAUCAUUGAGAUUUCUACUAUUUGAUUGUUUUAUGUCUAAGUUCUCAAAACAUAUACUAUUUCUAAUUAGAAUGCUUCUAAUUAUUUUGUAAUGUACUUUGAUUAGAAAAGACUACUGGAAAAUGAUGCUGCUGAAUAAAUUUAAUAAAU